AACGAACGCUGGCGGCAGGCCUAACACAUGCAAGUCGAGCGAGACCUUCGGGUCUAGCGGCGGACGGGUGAGUAACGCGUGGGAAUAUGCCCUUCUCUACGGAAUAGCCUCGGGAAACUGAGAGUAAUACCGUAUACGCCCUUCGGGGGAAAGAUUUAUCGGAGAAGGAUUAGCCCGCGUUGGAUUAGGUAGUUGGUGGGGUAAUGGCCUACCAAGCCUACGAUCCAUAGCUGGUUUGAGAGGAUGAUCAGCCACACUGGGACUGAGACACGGCCCAGACUCCUACGGGAGGCAGCAGUGGGGAAUCUUAGACAAUGGGGGAAACCCUGAUCUAGCCAUGCCGCGUGAGUGAUGAAGGCCUUAGGGUUGUAAAGCUCUUUCAGCUGGGAAGAUAAUGACGGUACCAGCAGAAGAAGCCCCGGCUAACUCCGUGCCAGCCGCCGCCGUAACAC
rnacentral:rRNA from 1 species